rnacentral:rRNA from 1 species
UGGGGAAUUUUGGACAAUGGGCGCAAGCCUGAUCCAGCCAUGCCGCGUGCAGGAUGAAGGCCUUCGGGUUGUAAACUGCUUUUGUACGGAACGAAAAGACUCUGGUUAAUACCUGGGGUCCAUGACGGUACCGUAAGAAUAAGCACCGGCUAACUACGUGCCAGCAGCCGCGGUAAUACGUAGGGUGCGAGCGUUAAUCGGAAUUACUGGGCGUAAAGCGUGCGCAGGCGGUUAUAUAAGACAGGUGUGAAAUCCCCGGGCUCAACCUGGGACCUGCAUUCGUGACUGUAUAGCUAGAGUACGGUAGAGGGGGAUGGAAUUCCGCGUGUAGCAGUGAAAUGCGUAGAUAUGCGGAGGAACACCGAUGGCGAAGGCAAUCCCCUGGACCUGUACUGACGCUCAUGCACGAAAGCGUGGGGAGCAAACA